rnacentral:misc_RNA from 1 species
UUGAUUAUUUAAUAUUUGCUCAGACAUCACUGAUAAAUAGGAUUUGGUUUAAACCUCUGGCGGGCGCGAGCCGCCCCCAGGCAACAAAGCCUGGGGCCGGCAUGAGCCGUAUAGCCUACUCAAGGCCCGCCAAAGCAACAAAGGUAUGGUAAACAUGGGGUUGAGAAACACGACGACCGCCGGCCGAGUCCCGGGAGACUCGAACGACACUCGCCGCUGGGGGCUAGGCCCCCGAACUCAUUAAUGAUCCUUCCGCAGGUUCACCUACGGAAA